rnacentral:rRNA from 1 species
GUAGGUGGCAAGCGUUGUCCGGGAAUUAUUGGGGGCGUAAAGCGCGCGCAGGCGGUUCUUUAAGUCUGAUGUGAAAGCCCACGGGCUCAACCGUGAGGGUCAUUGGAAACUGGAGAACUUGAGUACAGAAGAGGAAAGCGGAAUUCCACGUGUAGCGGUGAAAUGCGUAGAGAUGUGGAGGAACACCAGUGGCGAAGGCGGCUUUCUGGUCUGUAACUGACGCUGAGGCGCGAAGGCGUGGGGAGCAAACAGGAUUAGAUACCCUGGUAGUCCACGCCGUAAACGAUGAGUGCUAAGUGUUAGGGGGUUUCCGCCCCUUAGUGCUGCAGCUAACGCAUUAAGCACUCCGCCUGGGGAGUACGGCCGCAAAGGCUGA